AAUAGAAUCAAGGGAAAAAUCUAAGCACCAGCAUCUGAAAUUCGAAUAAAAUCACCAAAAUAGACUCCAAAAAUUUGCCAAAAAAAAUGUCAUAAAUAAUUCAAAUUUUUAAUGUAACCAUGUUCAAGCAUAAUCAUUAGCUUCUACACCUAAUUAAAAAAAAAAAAUCAACUCAUUCAAAUAAAACUUUUAUUUAAUUAGAUUUCGUUACGUUCAAUUCUAUUCUAUAUAGUACAAGUUAUCCCUCUUGUUGUUUCACUUUCAUAUAAAAAUAAAAUCUUUCCUCGAUAAAUAUAGUCACUUACAUUACAUGAAGCAGCGCGAAUCCGCGGGUCUAACACCAGCAUAUAUAACAAUGAAACAAUAAUUAAAAGAUCAAAUAAUUAGAUCUACUAAUGCCAAAUAAUAUCAGAUCAACAGAUGCCCAAAAGCCCCAAAACGCCUAUAAUUAAAGUUUCCAUUUUCUAGAAAUGAAUCAAAAGCUUUUCACUUUUCAGCUAUAAUCCACAACUUCAUCACAAAAAUAAAUGUAUAACUAAACCCCCAACCUGAGAUCUGAAUGGUAAGCCAAGAGAAAACGCAAGAUCCAUGCAACCCUUCACCGCGGUCUCCGAUUCAGUUGAUGCAAGGCGGGAUCCAAUUCGCUUCUGUCAAAUCUCAACCAAUCAAUUCUCGCCAUCUGGCCAUUGAUAAAGAGAAUAUAUAUAUACAUACAUAUGCAAGCGAAGCUAAUCAGUUCCCGACCUGCACCAAGCGAAUUAGAGACCACCGGUAACAGAAUCAACUUCCUCCCUUUUCCCUCCCCCUCUCUUAAAAGAUAUAGACAUUGAAUGAAGAAAGAAAGAGAGAAAAAGUAAACAGACACAGACUGCACCUACACAAACAAUUGGCAAUUUAUAGUGGGCACAGACGAACAAGAUUGCGACACGUAGGUUAUCAAACGUUGCGCAGGCGAUUCUAAGGCAGCAGCUACUGGUUUUGGAA
rnacentral:misc_RNA from 1 species